UGAGGACCUCAUAGGCCAGUGCUGGUCAUGUGGCUGCUCUUUGUGGCAUGGGUGGCUGCUCUGAGGCCCUAAUAGGGCAGGGCUAGGCCCAUGGCUGCUGUUUGUGCUUUUGAGGUCACUUGUGCCUCAAUGCCUGAUUGUUGCAUAUAACAGCAUUUGCUUAGCACUUGGAGCUACAUCUAAUGAAGCCUAAGGCCGCACAUUGCUGAAAUUUCCCUCAAUUGUUUGAGCCAGUUUAAACAAGGAGGGAACAAGGAGAUAAGGAAGUAACAAAAGAGCUUCAGCAAUGAUUAGUGAGUACCAUGACUCUGCCUGGAGACAAUGGGGAAACCAACCAGGACUGAAGAAGCUACUACUUGUCAAGCAAUCAAUCAGAGGUGCAAGAAAUCAGAGAAUGGACAAAGAACUUAAGCCGUAGGGGUAUAAAUACCCAGGGAAUUUUCCCUUCGGGGUCCCUCGUAGGAGGCUCCCAGCUCAAGCUGUAAUACUAAAAAAAUCAUCUUGUAAAGAAUUAUUUUGUGUCUUUUGGAUAAAGUGGAAACCUAGAUUCAAACCCUGUUAGGGACACUGGAUUGAACAAUUUCCCUAACAGUUUGGCACCCCAGAUGGGACUCUAGGCAACCACCAUUGGAUCCUCUUAGCUCCAAACUUCCAACGGCCGGCAGCAGGUGACUUCACCUAGGAGCUUUGGUGAGGGGAGGUACCGACUGGUGUGUUUUCAAAUUCUGCCUCUAAAUUUUGGGGAGAGUGGGUUAGAAUCCCAUCUCCGGGAUUUGAGAGGGUUUGAGUCCCAUCUCAACCCAUCUGGAAGGGGGAGUGCGCAGCCUGAUCAGCAUAAGGCGCACCACGAGACUCCGAUACACAUGGGAAACGUACCUGGCAUAGAGAAGGGGACGCCCUUAGCUGAGGUACUGGAAAACCGGAGAAAGACUGACAGUACCGUAGAGUUAGGAAAAGAGAAACCAGUGACCUUAUGCCAGGAAGACUGGCCCCUCCUUACCCAGGAGGGCAGCCCAGCUGAACGGUGGCCACCGCACGGGACUUUGGACCAACAAGAACUGACCUUUUUACAGCAUCGCCUAGAAGACAGAUUCCUGGGACAAAUGCAUUAUUGGUAUGUAUGGGAUAACUGACCAUAGGUAAUAAACGCAUCCUUCCAGAGAGGUAUGUAUUCCUC
rnacentral:lncRNA from 1 species